UGCCAGCCGCCGCGGUAAUACGGGGGAUGCGAGCGUUAUCCGGAAUUAUUGGGCGUAAAGCGCCUGCAGGUGGCCUGUCAAGUCCUCCGUCAAAGGCCGGGGCCUAACCCCGGAAAGGCGGCGGAAACUGCUAGGCUAGAGGGCGUGCUGGGGUAGAGGGAACUCCUAGUGUAGCGGUGAAAUGCGCAGAUAUUAGGAAGAACACCGGUGGCGAAGGCGCUCUACUGGGCCAGACCCUGACACUCAGAGGCGAAAGCUGGGGGAGCGAGACGGAUUAGAUA
rnacentral:rRNA from 1 species